AGUGAGCGCUGGCGGUAGGCCUAACACAUGCAAGUCGAACGGCAGCACAGUAAGAGCUUGCUCUUACGGGUGGCGAGUGGCGGACGGGUGAGGAAUACAUCGGAAUCUACUUUUUCGUGGGGGAUAACGUAGGGAAACUUACGCUAAUACCGCAUACGACCUACGGGUGAAAGCAGGGGAUCUUCGGACCUUGCGCGAUUGAAUGAGCCGAUGUCGGUUUAGCUAGUUGGCGGGGUAAAGGCCCACCAAGGCGACGAUCCGUAGCUGGUCUGAGAGGAUGAUCAGCCACACUGGAACUGAGACACGGUCCAGACUCCUACGGGAGGCAGCAGUGGGGAAUAUUGGACAAUGGGCGCAAGCCUGAUCCAGCCAUACCGCGUGGGUGAAGAAGGCCUUCGGGUUGUAAAGCCCUUUUGUUGGGAAAGAAAAGCAGCAGGUUAAUACCCCGCUGUUCUGACGGUACCCAAAGAAUAAGCACCGGCUAACUUCGU
rnacentral:rRNA from 1 species